rnacentral:rRNA from 1 species
CCCUUAGAUGUUCGGGGCCGCACGCGCGCUACACUGAAGGAAUCAGCACGUCUUUCUCCUUGUCCGAAAGGACUGGGUAACCCGCUGAACCUCCUUCGUGCUAGGGAUUGGGGCUUGUAAUUCUUCCCCAUGAACGAGGAAUUCCCAGUAAGCGCGAGUCAUAAGCUCGCGUUGAUUACGUCCCUGCCCUUUGUACACACCGCCCGUCGCUCCUACCGAUUGGAUGAUCCGGUGAGCUAUUCGGACCUUCGCUUCGUCGAUUUUCGGCUUUGUGAGGGAAAGUCUCGCGAACCUUAUCAUCUAGAGGAAGGAGAAGUCGUAACA